AAAAAUGCGUGUGGGUAAUGGAUGAUUUGUGAAAGUGUGUGGGUCUCCCACGUCUUCCAAGUCGCAGCCCACUUGGAAUUUUAUACAAAUUUGAAUCUCACGAAACACAAGUCAGCAUUAUACGACUCUUUCCACCUUCUCUUCCUUCUUUAUUUUCUCCUCUUUUCUUUAAUCAUUUUCUACAUGAUGUGUAUUUAGGUUGGUGUUUUAUUUUGUGAAAUAUAGCUAAAACUGCAACUACAAAAAAAAGGUAUUUUUGAGAUGCACUUUGCUUCUUUAUCUCCAAAUGUAACCGGAGAACGGGAUUGUGCUUAGAACGGGAAAAACUUUUGACGUGAAUAACUCGAAUGGAUUCGGAUUAAAUAAUUAAUUAUAUAUGAAUUAAUACGUGCAAUUUUUAUUUGUAUUUAUAUAUGCAUAUAAAUGUCACGACCACGAUCGUCAUUGUGUACUGUGAACUAGGGGAAAUGUAGAGACGAAAGUCAAAUCUCAUUAUCGGACUACUCUCGUAUUGUAUAUCACUCUUUAUCGUACCACUUAUCUCUAAUCAUAUAUAUACACAUAUUUAUAAGCAAAAUAAGUUCUCAC
rnacentral:sRNA from 1 species